CAGGAGCCGGAGCUGCUGCCGGGGGCCACCAUGAGCCAGAGAUGGAGGUAGAGGGAGCCAGAGCCGCUGGAGCCGCCAGGAGCCGGAGCCCAUGGACCCAUCAUUUGGUGACUACUGCUUAAAAUAUCAACACAUUUAUUGGAUCUUCUGCGUGUUUGACGUGUCGCCGCAGCUUUUUCAUUGUUAACAUGUUAAUAGUGGAAACUGCUGUGACUCAUCAAACAAUCAGAAGAUCUAAUCAAUGGGUUGCUAUUUCAGGUGGUAGUUACCGAGAGGAGACCCCACAAACCUUUUUUCUGUGUAUGUGGUUUACAGAUAAUAAUAUUAAAUAAAUGUUUCAGUAAAAUU